CGAUGUCACACAUUCGUAUAUGCUUUAUCUAAAAAUAUUUCCAACUUUUGUGUGUUUGAUGCUGCAUGCUAUUAACUAGACAAGAUCAAGUGCAAUUAGUAGCUUUUCUCUCUUUUUCAUCUUUUCUUUGGUGGAAUUGCUUUUCGUUUCCACUAAUCAGCCUGAGUGGAUGCAAGAUAACACCAUUCUCUAUAGCUCAGAUUGCAAAGUCGUCUUCAUGAAAGUUGUUCCUUAUCUUGUGAACUACAACAUAUCCAAAUUUGAGAUCCAUUGGAGUAGUACAACUUUAGAAAUUCAAGUAUGAUGAGUAACUGUUCAUCAAUGUUCUGUUAAUCCAUCAGACUUGUUGUGAGCUUCGAAACUCCAUUUUCUCUUGUUCAGAUCAAUAUACUUUCUUCAUGGAAGUUGUUCCUCAUCAUCUCUUCCAUAACAUAUCAAAAAUUCAGAACAAACUAACGGUUGAAUAUUUCCAGAUCUUCGAAACACCGCAGCAGCUUUGAAGCUUGCAGAAAUCUGACCGUCAUGUUUGGAGCUUCAACACUCUAACUUCCGUCGCUCAAAUAGAAAAAUUUCCUUCGUGAAAGUUGUUCAUCUGCUCAAGAACUAUAAGAUGUCCAAAAUUCAGCUCCACUGGAAUUAGCUUCGCACUAUCUUGAUGAAGAGUGUGUGAAGCUUUUAUGUGUUUUAGUGUUGAAAUUUGGUAUUGUAGGUGAAGCUUUGGGGUUGAAGCUUGAUAGGUGAAGCUUUAUAGGUGAAGCUUUGGUGUUGAAGCUUUAUAGGUGAAGCUUUGUGUUUGAAGCUUUAUAGGUGAAGCUUUGGGGUUGAAGCUUGAUAGGUGAAGCUUUGUGUUUGAAGCUUUAUAGGUGAAGCUUUGUGUUUGAAGCUUGAUAGGUGAAGCUUUGUGUUGAAGCUUUAUAUAGGUGAAGCUUUGGGGUUGAAGCUUUAUAGGUGAAGCUUUUGUUGGCACCAUAAAUUGAUUGUGCUUCGCACUAUCUUGAUGAACAUAGUGCGAAGCUUUGGAGAUUUAUACUUGUCCUCCAUUGAUGAAGAUUUUGUUGGCACCAUAAAUUGAUUGUGCUUCGCACUAUCUUGAUGAACAUAGUACGAAGCUUUUGAGAUUGAUAUUUGUCCUCCAUUGAUGAAGCUUUUGUUGAAUUUCCCAAUUUCCAAUUUCCUUUUUUUUUUUUUUUUUUUUUUUUU
rnacentral:lncRNA from 1 species